GCGCCCAUCGUCUAGCGGUUAGGACGUUGCCCUUUCACGGCAGAAACAGGAGUUCAAUUCUCCUUGGGCGUACCA
rnacentral:tRNA from 1 species